rnacentral:ncRNA from 1 species
UGGGGAAGGAAGACCCUGUUGACCUUGACUCUAGUCUGGCGCUGCGAAGACAUGAGAGGUGUAGAAUAAGUGGGAGGCUAGGUGUGCGCUCGGUGGUGCGGGGUGACCUGCCCACCGGUGAAAUACCUCUACUCUGAUCAUUUUUUCCACUUACCCGGUGAGGUGGGGGGGUGAGCCCCAAGGGGGGCUCUCGCUUCUGGUGCCAAGCGCCCAGCACAGGCCAGGCACGACCCGCUCCGGGGACAGUGGCAGGUGGGGAGUUUGCCUGGGGCGGUACACCCAUCAAAGCCUAACGCAGGCAUCUAAGGCGAGCUCAGGGAGGACGGAAACCUCCCGCGGAGCAGAAGGGCAAAAGCUCACUUGAUCUUGAUUUUUUGGUACGAAUACAGAACGUGAAAGCAGGGCCUCACCAUCCUUCUGGCUUUUGGGGUUUGAAGUAGGAGGUUAGAACCUGCUUUAAGGCUACCGUAUAUUGAUUAUGGGACAAGACAUAGACAGUUGCUCUUGGUCUGGGCUAUAAUUGUUCUACUUCA